UGCUUGCAUAUCCGGUGACACAUCUGUGGAUCUAAUAUUUGUCUGUCUUUGCUACCUAUUGGAUCAUCAGGUGGACCGGCUGGGUUCGCAUUUCCACCAUGUACGCAUCAAGUUCCAACAGGGAAUCUUCUUUGCGCGUCACAGAUGAUCAGGAUCCCAGGAAUGGGACCUUCAACGAUAAUGUACGCACCUUGACCCUCUUCACACGCAACAAGAUUGCCUUCAAUUGUUGUACAUCCACACUAUUAAUGAGGACGUUCGUUCACCCAACGCUGGGAGACUCGCUCAUAAAGAUUUAUCAGCUCAUGAAUAACGCUGUCUUCUCAUCGAAUCGCAGGCAACCACAUCCGGAUCACAGCAGAACAGUACAUGGCUGAGUCGCUUACCUGCUGUAUCUGCUGGAGUCUCACAACUGAGCAACGGAUUUGCCACCCUCACAACUCGCACUGCUCAGGUAGCGUCCUAUACGGAUAAUGUAGCCUUCUUCUUCUCCCGUUCCAACAGUGCUAGCUCGACAUGGGCUGAUGUGCUCCCACAGGCCAAGGAUGCAGCAGUGGGGGAAGGUCAGACAUGGCAGAGGCGCAUUGCAAGCCUUUCAGGCCACCUCACUGGAGCUCUCUCCAAUGCCUUCGCCACUUCUGAGACCGCCACUGCCCAGG
rnacentral:lncRNA from 1 species